GGCGGCGGGGCACAUGCUGCCCCCGCCCCUGCGCGCCUGCGGCUCCCGGCUCUCCCUCCCCUGCGCCGCGCUCUCGCCUCGCUUUCCGCGGGAGCCUUCCAACCGGUUCUCGGCUAGGGAGAAGGACGGGAGCGGUGGGAAGAGCGAGGGUGUAGAGAGGGAAGUUAGGGCUUUCGCUUUCUCCCCCCACUCCAGCGGCGGCGUUCGGUCCUCUGGGUGGAAUGUGCUCGCAGCAGCAGUGACGGCGGCCACAGCACGGGAGGCACCCGAGCCAUACACCCUGCAGCUGGAGAGAAAAGGAUGGCCGAGGUGGGAGAGACUAGAGUGAACCAGCAGGAGGAAGUCCCAGGGCCGCGAAGCUACGACGGAGAUCCGUCCUGGAAAAGCCUUCUCCACCCUGGGCACUUUAAGCGGCGGUGGCGGCAAACGGCAGGAGGUUGCAGACCCGACAGCGAGACUCCCUCAUUCCAGUCUUGCUCUGCCCUCCGGAGAUGACAAGUGAGAAAGAAGUGUCCGGCCGGGCCAUCCCCUUCAGAGAAGCAACCACUUCACAAGAAGAUUCUGAAGUUGGCCAUUUUUGAUCCCAGAACAGUUUCUCAUAGAUUAGAAAUAUUGGAGUCUACACAAAAAUCGAUAUUCAUUUACAAGAUCAUCACUAAACUUAUCUUGCAUAACUUACCAAGAAUAACUGUAAAAUGUGCUGGGAAUGCAAUGUCCUGAGAUAAGGAAGAACUGCCUGAAACAGCCUGGAUCUUAUUCCUGUACUUCCUAGGGAAUGUAACAUCUCAAGUUAAAGAGGAACUGCCCGGAACAGCCCGGGGAUUGUUCCUCUCUCCUGAGAAGGAAGAUUACCUCCAAAGCUCAUCCACUGAGUCACACUGCCCCUGUGGUGGAGGGCGGGCUGCCUUUCCAGGUUCCUCAGCUGUGGUGUAACUGAAGCAGGCACAAUCAAGACUCCAUCUGCUCGAGGCAGCUUUCUCGAACCUUGGGGAACCUACUCACAAUGGAUCACAGGCUUCUUUUGUUUUGUUUCUUGCUGCCUAUCUGUAAGUAAUUAACUUGCUUCAUGUAACGUGUUGCAUAUGAGUGUGUUCUGUCUCAUAGACUCAGGGAAUUGGUAACACUGCAGCUGAGGACGCAGUGGACAGAAGUGUUCAGACUCCUGUUCCUUGUGGUUGACACAGUGAUGAUGAUCUCUUCUGUCCUCCACAGAGUGGAAGUCCUCUCUUGGGAUUGGUUAUUGGUGAAACCACUUCGCAAUUUAUUAAGAUGGCAAAAGCUUACGGAGGGACAGAUUUGAGGGGAAGAUCAAGAUUUUUCUGUCAGUAUUGCAAAUAGUCAAGAAUAUGUGGUCCAAGAAGUGAUCAUUAUCUUUGGCAUUGUGCAAGUCAUUAGUGACCUUCACAUGAACAGUCUCAGUGGAGUGUUGGAGGAAAAAGCCUAACUGAAGAAGGUUCAAGAGUGAAUGGAAAAAGAGCAGUAGUAUGUGGAGAGUACAGACAAGUAUUUCCAGGAGCCUUUCUGUAAAGAGUGGUAGAGAAUGGGACAUCAUUUUUGGAUGGGGGAAGAGUUAUUUAUAGCAUGUUCAUAUGCUAAUGGAAGUGAUCUACUCAUGGGGAAAAUCUUGAUGAUGCAAGAAAGAAAGGGAUUUGUUGGAAUCUUGUCCUAUAACGGGUGAGAGGGGAUGGGUUCUAGAAGAAAAGGCAUGGGUCUUUGUUUGAGAUCAGGCAAUUCAUCUGUAGGAACCAGUAGGAAGAUGGUUAAGUGGGUACCUGUGGUAGUGGAUGUUUGUGAACAUUCUUUUCUUUUCCAUUGUUUCUAUUUUCUCAAUAAAGUGGGAAGCAAAAAUCAGCUGAGUGAAGAUGAGGAAGAAGGUGUUAAAGGUUUGAAGAAAAAAGGAAAAGGAUAUACUAAUCUAAGAGGACAAGUAAGUAGAACAUAGAUAAUGAAAAUGCUGGCCCUUAGGACUGUUGGGCCUAAAUGCUCAUAUUAUAUUGGUAGUCACAAAUUUGAACUUUCUCUAGAGCCAAUUUUUGCAUGUGUGUGCAGGCCUGGAGUAGUUGGAGAGUUGGAUUUAAUAGAAUUGAGGGUCAAGCAACUACAACCAGGGAAGAGUGGGACAAGGGAGAUAAAGGAUAUUGGCAGGGGAGCAAUUAUAAACAUGGACCAUGAUCAAAACUGGACAGGAAGGAAAAUAGAGAUAAGAGGGGUGGAAGGUUAAAAAUAGUGAAAAUGAGAUAGAAUGAAUAGGUUGUAGGUCCCUGUAAAGUUGAAGAAGUAUUAUUAUGCAGUACUCGUUAUUGAAAUGAGGUCACUAUGCUUAAGGCACAGUGAAUCCUAGAAAAUAGUGGUUUUGUUUCUCAUUAGGCAAUACAUUCCUCCUUGCUCCAGAAUGCAACAUACAUGUAUCCUUUUCUGUACUAUUUUUUAUUAAGAAUUCAUACUUAAUUCCACUGACUGCCACUCAAUUUUAAUGUACAGUAGGGAAUUCCUGUACUAUGUAUUAUGAAUCCAUUCCUUUGAAUUUCAUUUAUAAUACUUCAUGACUGACACCUGGCUUUCCACCAAGACUCAAUUUUCAUAGCAAGCCUCAUCAUCAUAAGCCCCCAAAUUAACAGGAUGAGGAGGAAGAAUUGGCAGGCUAAAGAAGAUGAUUAUAUCAAUUAAUGCAGAAAAAGCAUUUGAUAAAAUCCAAUAUUCAUUUGUAAUUAAAAACUCUCAGCAAGUUAGGGAUAGGAAUUACUUCAACUUAAUGAAGAGUGUCUUUAAAAACCUUAUUUUCAUCAGUUAUAACAAAUGUACCACUCUGGUGGUGAAUGUUGCUAAGGAGGGAAGCUAUACAUGUGUGGGGAAAGGAGAUGUGUGAGCAAUUUCUGUACCUUCUACUCAAUCUUCUGUGAGACUAAAAUUGCUGUAA
rnacentral:lncRNA from 1 species